rnacentral:rRNA from 1 species
AGAAUCUUUCGCAAUGCCCGAAAGGGUGACGAAGCGACGCCGCGUGUGGGAAGAAGGCCUUCGGGUUGUAAACCACUGUUGGGAGUUAGGAAGUGUGGGAGUGUUAAUAGCGCUUCCGCUUGACUAAAGCUCCAGAGGAAGCCACGGCUAACUCUGUGCCAGCAGCCGCGGUAAUACAGAGGCGGCAAGCGUUGUUCGGAAUUAUUGGGCGUAAAGAGCACGUAGGCGGCUCUGCAAGUCAGCUGUGAAAGCCUUCUGCUUAACGGAAGAACAGCAGUUGAAACUACAGGGCUUGAGUGCGGGAGGGGAGAGUGGAACUUCUGGUGGAGCGGUGAAAUGCGUAGAUAUCAGAAGGAACGCCGGCGGCGAAAGCGGCUCUCUGGUCCACAACUGACGCUGAGUGUGCGAAAGCUAGGGGAGCAAACGGGAUUAGAUACCCCGGUAGUCCUAGCCGUAAACGAUGGGUACUAAGUAGAGGGGUCUUGGUUAUCUCUCUGCCGGAGCUAACGCAUUAAGUACCCCGCCUGGGGAGUACGGCCGCAAGGCUAAAACUCAAAAGAAUUGACGGGGGCUCGCACAAGCGGUGGAGCAUGUGGCUUAAUUCGAUGCAACGCGAAGAACCUUACCGGGGUUUGACAUGGUAGAAGUAGAAGCCUGAAAGGGUAACGAGCGGUAUCCAAUCCGUUACUAUCACAGGUGUUGCAUGGCUG